UACAAAGGAAGUUGCAAAUCAGUUCUGCAGAAUCCCGCAAGGUGGCGAAAGGGUUAAGAUAGGGAAAAUAGACAGCCACCCGUUCGUAGGACGAAGCCA
rnacentral:lncRNA from 1 species